UUUGCAAUCCAUUUAUUGCAUGGCCUGUGCAUAUAGAAAACUAAAAGAGAGCUCUCUAAUUGAUAUUGAUCAGGAAAAUCUCUAGAUAGAAAGUAAUCUAACUUGAAUAUUGUGAAUAUAGA